AUUUGGAUUGUUUCCCCUUUUUGGCUAUCAUGAGGAAAACUGCUAUAAGCAUUUGCAAAGAGACAGGCUUUGGGAUUUAUUUGCAGAGAGGUUAGGCAUUCAGACAUGUGGAAAGAGAGAUGAAAGGAAAGUGCACCUGAGGCUGAACAAGUGACUAAAGGAGAAGCCACUGUGCCUGUCGAAAGAACAAUGAAUAAUCCAGAAUUGAUAGAUAAGUAAGACUGGGGAAGGAAGAGAAAGGAAGACACAGCCUCUGAGAGCCGGAUGAAGACACAAAUGGGAUGGAGGCUGCGGCUGUUAAACCAUCAGGACUCAGCGGCUGUUAAACCAUCAGGACUCAGCAAUUAUUUCAUGUGGAGACAAGUGAUGGCAAAGCCAAAAGGCCACGGGUGUUGAGCUGUUGACGAGAAACUGAAAGUGCCAUUGUGUUUAUACAGGAAGCUGCCAUUAGUAGGGAUUUGAAAAAGCAAGAGGAGAGGAUGAGUUUAGUGGGGAGUUCUUACACUUCAGGUGCUAGUGGAUACCACCAAGUCAAUAUUGAGUAGCAGGAAACCAGGGCCUGAUGUUCCGUCAGGCCAUCAGGGCGGAGACAUUGUGGAGAGGAAGUUUUGAGGCUGUGAGAUUAG
rnacentral:lncRNA from 1 species